AGCUUGCUACUGGACCUAGCGGCGGACGGGUGAGUAAUGCUUAGGAAUCUGCCUAUUAGUGGGGGACAACAUUCCGAAAGGAAUGCUAAUACCGCAUACGUCCUACGGGAGAAAGCAGGGGACCUUCGGGCCUUGCGCUAAUAGAUGAGCCUAAGUCGGAUUAGCUAGUUGGUGGGGUAAAGGCCUACCAAGGCGACGAUCUGUAGCGGGUCUGAGAGGAUGAUCCGCCACACUGGGACUGAGACACGGCCCAGACUCCUACGGGAGGCAGCAGUGGGGAAUAUUGGACAAUGGGGGGAACCCUGAUCCAGCCAUGCCGCGUGUGUGAAGAAGGCCUUAUGGUUGUAAAGCACUUUAAGCGAGGAGGAGGCUACUAGUAUUAAUACUACUGGAUAGUGGACGUUACUCGCAGAAUAAGCACCGGCUAACUCUGUGCCAGCAGCCGCGGUAAUACAGAGGGUGCGAGCGUUAAUCGGAUUUACUGGGCGUAAAGCGUGCGUAGGCGGCCAUUUAAGUCAAAUGUGAAAUCCCCGAGCUUAACUUGGGAAUUGCAUUCGAUACUGGAUGGCUAGAGUAUGGGAGAGGAUGGUAGAAUUCCAGGUGUAGCGGUGAAAUGCGUAGAGAUCUGGAGGAAUACCGAUGGCGAAGGCAGCCAUCUGGCCUAAUACUGACGCUGAGGUACGAAAGCAUGGGGAGCAAACAGGAUUAGAUACCCUGGUAGUCCAUGCCGUAAACGAUGUCUACUAG
rnacentral:rRNA from 1 species